UUGUGACGAUGUGAAGAAACGCCAAAUUUCGGUUAUAGGUUAGUGAAAAUAAGGCUCGUUGGCAGGGGUGGGGUGGGAGUGUAUUAUAUAAAGGUCAGAUUAAGAGUCCCUGGUCUAGAUAAGUGAGCCGCGGGACUUGACAUCGGAACGACUCUUUUUUUUUUUUUUUAAGGAAAAUAAUUUCAGCCGUUGCAUGGAGGAUAGAUUGGAGUGGGCAGAAACUUGAUGCGUAAGAACAUCAGAAGGCAAGUGGAAUCGUCGGGCCUAUAGGUCAUAAGGGCCUGAAACAGUUUGGUGGCCUUGCGAGUAAGUAGAGAGAAGUAGAGAGAUCCGAGGCAUUAUGGGGAGCCGGAAUGGAUCAGACCUGUUGACGGAUUGGGUAGAAGAGGUGAGGAGGGAUGAAUCCCAUCGCUUCUGUCCAAUCAGCGUUAAGGGACUUGCCAGGUUCACCCAAUGGGGAAGUGUCUGCGGACUGAUUUGAGGCUAGGUCUUCCUGACGCCUGUCCACGAACUCUAUCCCAGUGCUGCCCUGCUGCCUCACAAUAGUAGCUUUUUAAUAAAUGCUUGUUCCCUUCCUUCAUGUUAGUUGCUCUGCUGCUCAUGAGGGAAUUAGAGUCAUCUCAUCUACCUCGUAUCACCUUCUGUAGCAAAUUGAAAGAUCUGUAGUCUUUCCUCUGCAAAGGACAGGCUUCUUAAAUGCAAGCCUCGCUGGUGGAUAAUGAGUAUAUCUAGAGAAAGCAUCACAACAACAUGAGUAGAAGACAGUAGCUUUUCGGAUUUAGUUCCUCCUCAUCCAUAUGAAAUAUGGGUUCCUACUGUAUUCAUCCCUUUACAAAGUUGCUCUGCCCACAAUCAUUUACCACAUAAACAAUAAAAGGCCACCAGAAUUUAUUGAGUGGGGGAGAUAUUAAAGAAAAGAAAGAAGAGGACUAGGGACAGAACCUUGAGGCAUUUAAUGAAUGAGACCCAGAAGGACCAAGCAGACAGCUCAGAAUUCCUGAGUUCUGUGGAUGAAGUGAUCCAGCAGCCUCAACCUCUCCAGCAGCAAGAAUUGUAAAUGUGUGUACUAUGCCCUGAUAUGUACCUAUUUUCCAAGGAUCAGCCUAGAUGAAUAAAAAUGGGCUUAUAAUAAAUAAUGUAGCAAUUAGUUUGAUGACAUAGUUGGCUAGGACAACUUGUGAAAUAAGGAAAAAAAUUUAAUGGAUCUUGGUCCCAUGA